rnacentral:misc_RNA from 1 species
GUGAAUCAUCAAAUCUUUGAACGCAAAUUGCACUCUCCUCGGUGAGUAUGCCUGUGUGAGGGUCAGCCUAUAAAGAAUCGACAUCGUUGCUGUUGCGCGGUGGGUUUCGUUGGAAAGUGGGUCAUCUUAAAUCCUUGUGAUUUAAGCGACUUAACAUUUUCUUUUGGUUCUAGGCACGUUUCUAAGAUCUAUUUCGUUACACGUUUAAGGUAUCGAUUUUGACUAGACGUGACAAUCAUAUGAGAUCACGUCAGUAAUCUUUCGGUA